UUGGAGGGCAAGUCUGGUGCCAGCAGCCGCGGUAAUUCCAGCUCCAAUAGCGUAUAUUAAAGUUGUUGCAGUUAAAAAGCUCGUAGUUGAAUUUCGGGAUCAAUAUUUCGGUCAUGCCGUUGGUAUGCACUGUUAUCAUUGAUUUCUCACCUUCUAAAGAACCGUAAUGCCAUUAAUUUGGUGUUACGGGGAAUUAGGACUGUUACCUUGAAAAAAUUAGAGUGUUUAAAGCAGGCUCACGCUUGAAUACAUUAGCAUGGAAUAAUGAAAUAGGACAUCCGAUUCUAUUUUGUUGGUUUCUAGGAUCGAUGUAAUGAUUAAUAGGGAUAGUUGGGGGCAUUAGUAUUCAAUUGUCAGAGGUGAAAUUCUUGGAUUUAUUGAAGACUAACUACUGCGAAAGCAUUUGCCAAGGAUGUUUUCAUUAAUCAAGAACGAAAGCUAGGGGAUCGAAGACGAUCAGAUACCGUCCUAGUCUUAACCAUAAACUAUGCCGACUAGGGAUCGGAUGAUGUUAAUUUUUUAAUGACUCCUUCGGCGCCUUACGGGAAAC
rnacentral:rRNA from 1 species